UACAAAUUUACACUAUCAGUAACAAAUGAAAGAGCAAGAUGAUUACAAAAUUGCUGAAAUAUUGCAAUGUAAAGUACAGUAUUUAAAAGUGAGCGAGAAAAUCCAACAUAUUAACUGAAGAACAUACCAGAAGACAUAACAUUCCCAAUGCAUGACGUAAAACUCAUUCAUAAGUACAGGUUGCAUAAAUAAUAAGUCAAACAGAUAACAAAAAAAUCAUCAAUCAACAGUUCUAAUAUCAACCAAAAGUGAGAUCCAAAAUUCAGACAUCAUCUCACUAGAAUAUGAACUCUAGAGCAACAUAAUAUUUCAGAAUUACCUGUUGUUACGUGCCUGAAUUUUACUACUCUCUCCGUUCCCUUUUGUUCUUCCCAUUUCCUGACUAGAAAUUCCUAUAUUUUCUUCCCAAAUUGAAUCUUCACUACUUUUGGUAAAUUAUAAUCCCCAAAAUAUCCUCAUCAGAGUCAUCACACUUAUCUAAUUUCAAUUGUAUCCCUAAUUUAUUCCACUCCCUAACCCCCAUCCAUAAAUUCUAAAUCCUCCCAUUCACCUCAUAUCCACCAUUUUCCAACCUUAUCUCACUUUUUUUCAAGUAAAUCAUUUUUAUGUAUCUUAUCUCCCUGUUUCGCUCCUCCAAAGUACAUAAACGGCUGAUAAAGCUUAUAUGGCGGCCAUUAGAAGGUGGAAAAACUACAUACCUAUCCUUUGUGUCGAUCAGCUAGCUUCUACAUAUCUAUUGGGUUCCUUUUGUUUGGGAUGAAUAUGGUGAACCACUUCGCAAAGGUCGACAAAAAUAUGAUCAGAAGAGAAUAAACCGCCAGCGAUGGUGGUUUUUAAGUGUGAUGCUAAACAACUUAAGCAACCAAGAAUGUAGAUUCUAAUGCUCCUGUUUAAUAUUUAAUUAUUGUUAGAUUUUUUUUUUUUGGGAAGUUAUGGUCCAACUUUAAAUGUAAAAGGUGGGAUCUAAAUAUUUUAUUGUUUUAUCUCUCCCUUAGAUCCCACUUUCUUAACUUUCUCCCAGAUUCCAAAUGGGAAGAGCAAAAGGGAACCGAGGGAGUACAAAUGAUGUUAACUUGUG